rnacentral:rRNA from 1 species
GAUGAACGCUGGCGGCGUGCCUUAUACAUGCAAGUCGAGCGAACAGACGAGGAGCUUGCUCCUCUGACGUUAGCGGCGGACGGGUGAGUAACACGUGGAUAACCUACCUAUAAGACUGGGAUAACUUCGGGAAACCGGAGCUAAUACCGGAUAAUAUAUUGAACCGCAUGGUUCAAUAGUGAAAGACGGUUUUGCUGUCACUUAUAGAUGGAUCCGCGCCGCAUUAGCUAGUUGGUAAGGUAACGGCUUACCAAGGCAACGAUGCGUAGCCGACCUGAGAGGGUGAUCGGCCACACUGGAACUGAGACACGGUCCAGACUCCUACGGGAGGCAGCAGUAGGGAAUCUUCCGCAAUGGGCGAAAGCCUGACGGGGCAACGCCGCGUGAGUGAUGAAGGUCUUCGGAUCGUAAAACUCUGUUACUAGGGAAGAACAAAUGUGUAAGUAACUAUGCACGUCUUGACGGUACCUAAUCAGAAAGCCACGGCUAACUACGUG